rnacentral:rRNA from 1 species
ACGGGUGAGGAAUACAUCGGAAUCUACCUUUUCGUGGGGGAUAACGUAGGGAAACUUACGCUAAUACCGCAUACGACCUACGGGUGAAAGUGGGGGACCGCAAGGCCUCACGCGAUUAGAUGAGCCGAUGUCCGAUUAGCUAGUUGGCGGGGUAAUGGCCCACCAAGGCGACGAUCGGUAGCUGGUCUGAGAGGAUGAUCAGCCACACUGGAACUGAGACACGGUCCAGACUCCUACGGGAGGCAGCAGUGGGGAAUAUUGGACAAUGGGCGCAAGCCUGAUCCAGCCAUACCGCGUGGGUGAAGAAGGCCUUCGGGUUGUAAAGCCCUUUUGUUGGGAAAGAAAUCCUAUCGGUUAAUAACCGGUGGGGAUGACGGUACCCAAAGAAUAAGCACCGGCUAACUUCGUGCCAGCAGCCGCGGUAAUACGAAGGGUGCAAGCGUUACUCGGAAUUACUGGGCGUAAAGCGUGCGUAGGUGGUGGUUUAAGUCUGCUGUGAAAGCCCUGGGCUCAACCUGGGAAUUGCAGUGGAUACUGGAUCACUAGAGUGUGGUAGAGGGAUGCGGAAUUUCUGGGU